UUUUUUCUCCUGAGCAUCUAUUUGUCAUUUUAACAUGAAUGUAUUUCUAUUUUUCUCUAGGUGUCAUGGAUUAAUUGGCUCUCAUUCAGCAGGAACCUAACCGAUGAAUCCUUCUGCCGUGUAUCAAGACAAUGCUUGUGAAAAUGACUAAAGCUGUGUCUCAGUGUGACAUUUUUAGAGGAGGACAAGCAGCUUGAGAACUUCCUGUAAUUCAUACUGCAGCUUGAAGGAAGCCCCUUUCCAUUAAGUAAGACUGCAUGGCCAGCAGCCCCCACUGAAGAGCUGACAAUGAGCAUCCCCGUGGCUCCCAAGAAAUCAUGUUUCAAUCAAUUGCAGGACAACAGAAAUGGAGCAAGAAAUAAUAACGAGAGUAUUCUAAGUCUGGGAGAUACAAAUGCCAAUCAGAUCAUGUUGGCGGUCAGCUCCCCUCAGGAUGAGUCCAAGAUAUGUGACCUGACUGAUCAGAUUGGAAACGCAAAUUCAAGUGGGCAGGAACACCAUCUUCACUUCCAGAAGGAGGCUCAUCAACCUCAGGGCUUUAGGAGGGGGUCUCAGGCUGGCUCCACAAGUUUGAAAGACUUUAAACUUUCUCCUGCUUUCCCCAGAGGAUUACAUGAAGACUCUGCGGUGGAGAGAGGCACGGAGAUCUCACGGACUCCUCAGAGUUUGCAGGGGCCAAGCCUGUCAAGUUGGAGGAACGCGAUGAGCGAGGCCAGUUCAGAGGUUUUGGCUAAGAAAGAUGUUGAAGUUCCCUGGCGUGUUCCAAAGGACAAACUGGCCAAGACCCUUGACAAUGAAGAGUUGCGAAGGCAUUCUUUGGAAGGAGCAAGCCGCUCUGCAGCUGUGGCUGAGAGCUUGACUCCACAGCACCUUGCAAGGCCCGGUGCCCCUGAGCCACGGGAUCAUGUGCCCAGGUGUGGGGAGGAGCCGCAGAGGACACUGGCUGACCACUCUCCAGAGACAGCUUUUCUUCCAGCUUACAAUACCUCAGAGGGAAAGAGUGUGCGUCCUCCUAAGCCAUCUACCUCAGAAGCCAGGGACGCCAUCCCCUCCGAGGCCCAGAUGGAGGGGGCACAUGAACCUAAUGUUUGCAAUGAGCACAAGUCACGUUCUGCCCAUCCUGAGCCCGCUCUGAAUUCAGCUUUGCUGUCAAAGGAAAUCCUGAGUUAUCCUGAAGCACAAUUAGGUCAGGGAAAGGGAGAGCCGAAGCUGGAACUGAAAUGCGUUCAACUCAGGGCUGGGGAGGAGUUCACUUCAACCCAGGCAGGAGACCUGGGACGUCCCCAGGAAGAGAGGAUGUCACCCCUAGAGAGAAAGGAGACAUGUGGGGAAGCACACAAAGAAGCCACCAGUGCCAUUAGCGGUCCAUCAGACAGCGUCUGUCGUCAUCUUGGGGUGGGCAGAGGCGGCAGUGAGGAGACAGGAGUCAAGACAGGUGUGGAGGAAUCUCUCCAAACCACGCUCAAGCCGGUCCCUGCUUCCUUGGGAGUGGCUGGCAAUCAACUAACUGGCAAAAUGUCACUAAGCACAGGAAGUAAAUUGGGGGAACUGACAUCCGACGACUUUUCUCCCAGUGGUGGCCAUGUAGCCAUUGUUCCUAACGGCCUGCCUGACGGCAAGCCCUCAGAUGUCAGUGAGGAGAAACGGAGGCUGGAUAUUGGAAACGGGGACAGUGCUGUGGUGUUGGUAUCAGACCCUUCUGUGGGAGAGAGCAAAACUGAGGUUCCUGAGUCCCUGUAUCUUCAAAGCAGAAGCUCCGAAGUGGGGGAAAACAAAGAUACGGCAACACUUGUGGCUGAACCUACGAACCUUCUAGAAAAUGAAUCCAAGACUGAUAUUACUCCAUCUAGAGAAGAUUCAUUUCUCAGUACCCCAGCUACCCUUCACCCAGAGACAACUGUGAACAUGACCCACCAGCCCACGCCACCCAGUAACGUUUUCCAGGACCCUGGUGUGUUCGGUGUGGGUCCAGGGUCACCCUCAGUGGUCCCGCCCUCCGCUGACAGUGUGCAGCUGUUGAACACAUCCCCGAAAGUGCCUGACAAGAACACCUGCCCCAGUGGGAUCCCCAAGCCUGUCGUCACACAUUCCAAGGGCACAGCUUCCUUGCAGGAAGGAGUGGAGAAGCAGGUUGAAAAAAUGGAAGACAGAACAGACACGAAGCCCAUUGUUAUGCCCAAGCCCAAGCACGUGAGGCCUAAGAUCAUCACCUACAUCCGGAGGAACCCACAGGCCCUGGGCCCCGUGGACACUUCGCUGGUUUCUGUGGGGCUUCCCUAUGCCCCGCCCCCAUGUAGCAUGGCCCCACCCCAGGAAGACAGGGUGGCAAGUAGUGACCUGAAGUCGACUGCCAGCCUGUAUGAGAAAUUCAAGCCUGACUUGCAGAAGCCCAGGGUCUUCAGUUCUGGGUUGAUGGUGUCUGGGAUCAAGCCUCCAGGACAUCCUUUCAGUCAAAUGAGUGAGAAGUUUUUACAGGAGGUGGCGGACCACUCUGGAAAAGAAGAAUUCUGUUCUCCUCCCUAUACGCAUUAUGAAGUUCCCCCAACUUUCUAUCGAUCAGCCAUGCUCCUUAAGCCCCAGCUGGGACUGGGAGCAGUGUCCCGGCUGCCCUCUGCGAAGAGCAGGAUUCUGAUCGCAAGUCAGCGGUCUUCAGCCAGCGCCAUCCAUCCGCCAGGACCCAUCGCGACAGCUGCCAGUCUCUACGCUUCGGAUCCCUCAGAUUUAAAGAAAGCCUCCAGUUCAAAUGCUGCAAAAUCCAAUCUACCCAAAUCUGGGCUUCGUCCUCCUGGGUACUCACGUCUUCCGGCUGCCAAGAUGGCAGCAUUUGGCUUUGUCCGGAGCUCCAGUGUCUCUUCGGUUUCCAGUACUCAAUCUGUGGACAGUGCCCAGCCUGAGGAGAGCCGGCCAGUCACCCGUGAGUGGGGCAUGUGGGGCAGGUGGGGUGGGCACACACCUGAGCAAUUCUCUGGCAGGCAUGACUGUGUGCUGAGGACAUACCCGUGUGCCUGGGUCCCUGGGUGUCGUUUUCUUUGCCUGAUUAGUUAAGAAUACAGAUACACUCUUGUUAUUGUUAUUACUGCAUUUUAAUCUUCC
ensembl:lincRNA